AGGUUAAUGCAGCAGAUUUCAUUAUGUGCAUGAAAGUGCCUCAGUGUGACACACCUCUUAUGACAAGGAUAUCAGGUCCCUUUGACGACAUCAGGAGCAGUGAUUUUAAAUGCAGCCCUGUUUAUAAGCCACACCUCUGGCUUUUUCAAUUGACUUUCGUCAUCUUGAACCAGCCGGGAUGACGCAUUGUUCAGAAAGUUUGUUGUUUUAUUUUCAAGUAAAGAGUCCAACUCUUUCAUUUCUCUGUCAGAAUAUGAAGGUGCCGCAGGUAAAUCAACAAAGGUUAAAUGUCAGGAAAUGUUUAUUGGUUUCAGCAUUUAAAUUAAAAGUGGAACUUGUGCAGUUUCAUUAAACUCAGAAUAUAUUUCAA